CAGUAGCCGCGGUAAUACGAAGGGGGCUAGCGUUGUUCGGAUUUACUGGGCGUAAAGGGCGCGUAGGCGGGCGAUUAAGUCAGAGGUGAAAUCCCAAGGCUCAACCUUGGAACUGCCUUUGAUACUGGUUGUCUUGAGUCCGGGAGAGGUGAGUGGAACUGCGAGUGUAGAGGUGAAAUUCGUAGAUAUUCGCAAGAACACCAGUGGCGAAGGCGGCUCACUGGCCCGGAACUGACGCUGAGGCGCGAAAGCGUGGGGAGCAAACAGGAUUAGAUACCCCGGUAGUCCCUGUCUCUUAUAC
rnacentral:rRNA from 1 species